rnacentral:tRNA from 1 species
GCCUGGGUGGCUCAGUCGGCUGAGCGUCCGACUUCAGCUCAGGUCGUGAUCUCACCACUCGCGGGUUCGAGCCCCGCGUCGGGCU